GACGAGAAAGUCUCUGGCCAGUGACAGUUUCUCCCUACCUGUUCUUCCUGCUCAAAAUGAUAUUGACCAUUUGAUGUGAUUGAGUAAAAGAUGAAAGAUAAGUACAAAUGAUUGCUAAUUAAAUGUGGAACGCAGGAAAGAUAUCUCAGCAGAGCUAGCUAAUGCCCACCUUACACAGCAAGUAUAACUGUGCCAGUCCCCAGAGUACUGGCCUCUUUUCCCCCCUCUCAAAAGGCUCUUUCUUCUGCCUGCUUUUGUCUCCCUUGUACUUCAUAUGGCAUCACAGGUGUACAGCCUUGGCCUCAAAGGAGCCAUUGUGACCUUAUCCAGGCUGGGAUCUGUUGAUUGAGGACAGUGGCAUCCCCUCGAGUUACAUGGCACCAUUACACUCACAGAGGGAGGACGUGAACGAGGUAUAACCAGGGAAUUGUUUCAGAGGUUUCCUUGGAUAUUCCUACAACUGAUAACAGCUGCCAUUUCUUCAGCAUCUACUGUACUCAAGAACCUGGAGCUAGCUGCUGUGGGAGGAUCAGAUGUCCGUGUGAAGAUGCUGGCGGCCCCUAUCAAUCCAUCUGACAUAAAUAUGAUCCAAGGAAACUACGGACUCCUUCCCGAACUGCCUGCUGUUGGAGGGAAUGAAGGUGUUGCACAGGUCAUAGCGGUGGGCAGCAAUGUGACCGGGCUGAAGCCAGG
rnacentral:sRNA from 1 species